GACGAACGCUGGCGGCGUGCUUAACACAUGCAAGUCGAACGGAAAGGCCCUGCUUUUGUGGGGUGCUCGAGUGGCGAACGGGGGAGUAACACGUGAGUAACCUGCCCUUGACUUUGGGAUAACUUAAGGAAACUGGGGCUAAUACCGGAUAGGAGCUCCUGCUGCAGGGUGGGGGUUGGAAGGUUUCGGCGGUUGGGGAUGGACUCGCGGCUUAUCGGCUUGUUGGUGGGGUAGUGGCUUACCAAGGCUUUGACGGGUAGCCGGCCUGAGAGGGUGACCGGCCACAUUGGGACUGAGAUACGGCCCAGACUCCUACGGGAGGCAGCAGUGGGGAAUAUUGCACAAUGGGCGGAAGCCUGAUGCAGCAACGCCGCGUGCGGGAUGACGGCCUUCGGGUUGUAAACCGCUUUCGCCUGUGACGAAGCGUGAGUGACGGUAAUGGGUAAAGAAGCACCGGCUAACUACGUG
rnacentral:rRNA from 1 species